rnacentral:misc_RNA from 2 species
UCAAAGCAUCAAGCUUGGCUUGUCGUUGGGCCCUUUAUCACCCGGUGAUAGGUCCGAAAGAUAAUGAGCGGUGUCAUAAGGACCCUAUAUGCAACGAGCUUAUAACAGCACGCAUCUAGUGGUUGUAUGGCCCGGUUUACCCCUCUUAUUUCUCAA